UCUCAGUUAGUAUAGAGGUUAGUAUUCGCGCCUGUCAUCGAUGGUACGCGCGAGACCGGGGUUCGAUUCCCCGACUGAGAG